CUCCAUGCAGCCGCGUUGCUCUCAGCAAAAGCCCGGGAACCGCGGAAAUUGAAUAAGUGCUUCCUGUGAUUUUUACGUUCGUUAUCUUCAAAAUGGAUCGUUGUACAGUUAUAAUUGCAGAACUGGGUCGACGAAGUCUUCAAGAGAAAGUUGAAUAACAUCUCAUAGGGUUGAACUAAAACCAGCCGGCUGUGAUGAUUAAUUAUAAAGCCUUUUCAGCAUACAAAGAACACUUGUGAUUUUUUUAGAUUAAUUACUGAAGAUGGUGUAAGCUGUUCUACUGGUGCAUAAUGAUCCCGAGAUCCAGUGGCGUGAGUUG